GCCGAUUAUUAAAAGUUAUAUAAAUUACCUUGUUUAAAUUCAAGAAUUUAGAAAGAAAAACCUUCAUGACAUAACGAGAAAUAAACUGAAGAAAACUCUACUGCGACACAUCUAGUUAAACCAGCUUACACCCGAGCAUCUUGAUUCCAUGCUGACCUUACACUAAUACAUAAUCCAGAGUCAUUGGAAAGGCUGUACUACUUUAAAACAAGUACGGCUGCCUUCUUUGAUGAGAACAAAAACGCUGCCAGCAUCA
rnacentral:misc_RNA from 1 species